rnacentral:rRNA from 1 species
UACGUAGGGACCAAGCGUUGUUCGGAUUUACUGGGCGUAAAGCGUGCGCAGGCGGUGAUGUAAGUCUGAUGUGAAAUCUCCGAGCUUAACUCGGAAAUGGCAUUGGAUACUAUUCGGCUGGAGGUUUGGAGGGGGACUGGAAUUCUCGGUGUAGCAGUGAAAUGCGUAGAUAUCGAGAGGAACACCAGUGGCGAAGGCGAGUCCCUGGACGAACACCUGACACUGGAGGCACGAAAGCUAGGGAGCAAACAGG